CCCGGGAAGACGCACAGACAGCAACUUCCAGAUCGGAGUAGGAGUUGCUGAAGGCUCCUGAGGGGCGAUGCUCUGAGGGCAACAGGCCACCGAGGCAUUUACGUCACAGGAUGUAUGUGUGUGGGCGCGGGUCCUCUGUGGUUUCAGUUCUGAGCACUGAUGGCCGGUGACUUCAGAAAAACAAGGGAUCCCAUUUUUUCAGGCUUUCCCCACAACGGCCUCACCUGCCAGUCCCCGUAAAUGUCUCCUGAGUCCUGAGGUUUGAAAGGGAAGUCCUUUCUGGAAAAGAUUCCUUUAAGACACAAGGAGUUUCCUACCACUAUGGGUGGCUCGGCACAGCGGUCUCCUUCGGCCUCCUGCCUAGAGAGAGAAGGCUGAUACCUUUGAUACUAAAAACGAGCCUUACAGUCUGCUCUGUUCUUCUGUCAUAAUCUCA